GAUUCAAUAUAAUUAUAAAAAAAAUAUUAUCAUCAAAACUUUUAUUUUAUCUUAUUAAGAGAUGGCUAGAGUUUGCUUUACAACAUUGUUCUUGGUUUAUGCCAUUCUAAUUGCAAUUAUUGGUUUAUUUUGCUUGAAAGUUUCAGCACUCCACCUAUGCAACACAGCUACUGAUUGUUAUCUUUAUUGUUAUCCAUAUCCAGGGGAAUGCCCACCUUAUCAAUAUUGUCACUGUCUUUAAGAAUAUAAAUAUAUUUUUAAAACCACUAAAUACAUAUUUGAAAAUUGUAAAGCACUUAUAUGUGCCAACUGCCAAGAUAAUUAUAUUAAAUAUUCAAUGUAGUGGUUAUUAAUUAUUAUAUAAUGUAUCGAGCCUUUAAAGAUGUAUUCAUGAUACUGAGUAUUUCUUGAAUGAUAAAGUUAUAAAUUUAAUAUCUUUCCUUUGAGUUAUUAAUUAGUUUAGAUUGUAAUUUUAGACAAAACAUAUAAAAAAUCAUAUCGCAAUUUCAA